CAGGUCAAAGGACCAGUCACACUACUGCAACAUCAAGCAAGUCACUGACGAGUGGAUAGACAUCCAAGUGACUUCUUGUAUUGGUCACGCUCAGUACCCUUGUUCUUAACAAGCACCUGCACUAUUACUUCAGUGUCGCUACACUGUGGACUCGAGUCUCGUCCAUCCAUAAGAAAAGUAAUCUGUGCACUGAUCUCAUCGGAUCGAU
rnacentral:lncRNA from 1 species